GUGUCCUGAGCAGCCCAAAGUCAGCCCUCCGAAAGUCCAACACAGUGGUUUUACUGGUCCCCUUCCUGGCCUCGCCAAGAAUAGUGAACUCCACCAUUUCGUGGUCACUCUGCCCAAGACAGCUCCCGACAAUCACAUCCUCCACCAGUCCUUCUCUGUUUGUGAAGAGAAGGUCUAGCGGGGCACCACCCCUGGUAGGUUCAUUAAUCAGCUGCGUUUCAAGACACGCUGCCCUCCUGCUCUGCCGUCCUGCUCUGCUCCAGUCCCUUUGGCUCAGCAGCUGGAAGCAGGAGAGCCCGGCACACGGUGACCUGGUUUUCGCACUGUCCUUCAGGAACUUGACAGCGGUCCAGAGCGCAUUCUGCAGAUGGCAGCCUGGUGACACACAGCCUCAACGUGAGCCGCGCGCAGGCUGCCUUUGUGCUAUAUUUACCGCCGCUCGCAGCGGAGCGGUUCUCCAGCCGUUUCUAGCACGCUCAGAAACUCGCAAGCCCUAGAAAAUGGGUGUUACACAACGGAGCGGGCCCGGCGUGACCUGGCUGAUGCCACCACCACCUAACCUGACCCGCUGAAUGCCAGCCGCGGUGUCGUCCUACCACCACGGCCCUGACGCUCCCCUGAGCCUGCAGGGAGCCAGCGGGCGAGCUGCGCCGGCAGAAAACUAUUUUUGCAUGCCGUGUUUUCUGCCAGCUUCAGUCCCCGAGCUGCCUCGCUGUCAGUUAACAUCUCUGCCAAGGAUAAACACACAGUGGAUGAAAGAAAAUGGAGAGCAGCUGGCAGUGACUCAACAGACUCCUCCACCCUAUCCCUUCAGAGAAUAUUUUCUUAGGCUUUGUAACUUGGUUCUCACUAAUGUUAAGUUCCAUUUGAGAUGGACGUAGAAAUACGUAGUAUACAUUUUUUGAAGUCAAAGCAAACACUGAAGAACAAAUUGUGAAAUUUCAUUUGGCAGCAGAAGGUUGCAUCAUUGCUUUCCUCUCGGCCUCAGGAGGUUUCAUAACAUCUGAAGACAUCAUCAUGCGUGUGAGAAAGUUGACAUUUAAGAAAGAGUCUAAGAAUGGGAAAAUUUAUUAACCAUUAAGUGUCAUGAAUUUGAAGGGAUCGCACCAGUAAUCACAGGUUGCUUAAGGAAGUCGUGAUUGUACACAAAUUGGAAAUAAAAUGUGUUAGGCAAGAUGAAAUAUGCAUUCUUAUGUCCUGUAAAAAGACAGCCUCUAUAUGCUCCCCAUAUACCUAUACCCCUUGGUGGGGCCCCCACAUGCUCUCACAUUACAAAAUUUUAGGAGCAUGGGCAGUUUGGGCUCUUACCUGGUGUCAUCAGAGGGCUAUGAACAAGCACGGGAGGCAAAAUAAAGAUGACUUAGUGUGUGAGAUUUUAAAAAAAUUUUUUUUUUUUUUUUCCUGAGUAUCAAAUGUAUCUUUAUCACACACAAUCUCACCUACCGUUUUGUUUCUUGAUGAUGUAAUAUCAAGAGGUCCUCUUGUAGAACUUUAAAAUUUGCUUAAUUUUGAUUCUUCUAAAGAAUUCUAUGUUGUCAGAGGUUGCUGUUACAUCACCAUUGAUUCUUUUCUUUACAUUGCUUAUGAAUACAUUGAACACCGAUCUUGCUGGUAAUUUUCUCCUAUAAGGAAAAAUGGUUUUCUUCUCUAAGUGUAAGUCCCAUUUGCCAAUGCUUCUGAUAUAAACUUGAGUAUUACAUUAAACUAAUUUUUCUAGGGUUAUUUUUUGUUUGUUUAUGUGGGUAUGUACAUGUUUGUGUUUAUAUAUGUGUGUGUGUGCAUACCUAUUUUAAUGAGAAGUGUCUUAAUUUUCUUGAUUGGUAGCUUUAUAUUUUGGUGCUACUUGAAAGAGGGAGCUGCAAAAGCUGUAUUAUAAAGUCUGUAUGUCCAGAAAACUUUCUGCUAAUGCUGGUAACAUAUAAAAAUAAAGACAGUAUAACAUUAUUUGGCUGUGAAAAUUUAUACUUCUGGAUUACCAGUACUCCAGUAUGAAGCUAGUUUAUCUUGGUUCACUUACUUUAUGUGAUGUUUGGCAGGGGAGUGGCAUCUUUUUGCCAAUGUUUUCUCUUUUAUUGUCUCUAGAAAAUUCACACAGUUUGUGAAUUAACUUCAGUGCUGUCCUGACUGAACCCAGGAACCAGCAGAUCUUCCUCUCAUGAGACCAAGAUAUGUUUUUAAAAGGCUGUCUAACUGAGUUUAUAUAUUGCGAAAACAUUAUUUAAUUUUAUCUGUAAAAAGAAGUCAAGAAAAAAAAAAAGUAACAGACUAUUAAUUUGUCUAACUUAACUGCCAUUUUUUGCAGACAUGCAAGAUAUCAUAUUCUGUAGAUUUUUCUUUUUCUUUCUUUCUUUCUUUCUUUCUUUCUUUCUUUCUUUCUUUCUUUCUUUCUUUCUUUCUUUCUUUCUUUCUUUCUUUCUUUUUCUUUCUUUCUUUCUUUCUUUCUUUCUUUCUUUCUUUCUUUCUUUCUUUCUUUCUUUCUUUCUUUCUUUCUUUCUUUCUUUCUUUCUUUCUUUCU
ensembl:lncRNA